rnacentral:lncRNA from 1 species
UUUACAAACAAUGCAAAAUGGAUUUUUGUCUCUUUUUUCAACCUUUUUGUAAAACUGCCUCUUCAAUGGAUUCUUUCGACUUUACAGCCACCAGAAACGUGUGAGGAACAAGAGCAUGCUAAGACAUCCAGUGAAACAAAAACUUGCAGCCAAGAAGAAGCAAACCUUAGACUAGAGAAUACUGAACUCAAGAAACUGAUCCAAGCGUGGAAGGGGGGAAACCCGCACUGGACGUAUGGUGGCUAUGACCAGCAGAAGCAAAUGCACACGUGGAAACGUAUCAAUCCACCAAAAGGCGAUUCAGAAGACCAGGGACUCCUUGACAGAUAUUCCCUCACUUCCGUCUUUCUUGCUAUCAUUGUUGGAUUAAUCGGUGUACUAAUUGGCAAGUACGCAAUUUAGAGGCCUCUUUAUUUUAUCUAUCCUUUCUUAUAUUGCCCAUGAAGCAUUCAAAUUUUAUCUUUCUCCCAUCGUUAAUCUCCCUGCCUCUUUCCUCUCCUAUUUUUACAUUUAUUCCCUCGUCGAAUCUAUGCUUUCUUUUUGAAAACCUGCCCCCCCCCCCUUCCCCACGAACCAAUUUUCAGUGACCGUCCUGCGGAUUUUUUGCCGCUUAAUGAAUAGAAAUAUCUUGAAUAGAAAUUUUCAGUUGCCCGUUCUUCAAGCAAACACAAGCUGCUCUUUGGUUGGGGUUUCUUGCUUUUAAUUUGUGCUGCUCUUGCCGUAAGUCAGGGCUAGAGAGGUUAAAUUUUUAAUGUCUUGUUUUGAGGUUCUCAGUUUUGAAAAGUGGCCUUUAUAUAAGUGUGUCUCAUCAAAAAUUUGAAAUUCGUUGAGAUAUUGGGAGAAAGCAGAAUUAAAUACUUGGAAAUGGAUUUGUGAUCUAACAGGAGCGGAACUUUAAAAGGCACAGGUGGAGGUUUGGGAGUGGAAUGUCGAUGAAUUGAAUUUCGAUAAAUUUUAAAUUAAUGCAACUCUAGAUAUACUUACCAUUUGUUAACUUUUUGUGGAAUUAAGUUCUCAGGCCUCAUUAUUUAUUCAGAAUAAACUCGAA